rnacentral:lncRNA from 1 species
CCGCGAAGCUCGUGCGGGCGGGGCUGGGGACGUGGCGCCCGCGAUCUCGGAGCUGAGGGGAGGAGACAAGCUCAGUCCUGAGGCCUCCAAGGUUCUCGGCAGCCUGUGCCAGGAAGGCCAUCUCACCUUACCUGCCUCUUCUGAUGCUGUCUUCCAAACUGUAAUGUCUGUCAUUCCAAUAUGAACACCGGUGCCAUUCCACAGACAUUUUAUCACCUUUACACAGUCAAGGAAGUAAAGGUUUGUGGACAAAGCACAAAAGAUCAAAUAUGGGAUAAUGUAAAUCCUAGUGUCAACAGAUCCUGCUACAAAGCCAAGAGGUGCCCAGCCCAGCAUCAGGUUAUCUACACUAACCUGUAGGACUGCUGAACUGUGGUCCCAGAUGCUCUCUUUGAAGCCGAGUGGUUAGGGAAUGAGCAUGAGUCUG